rnacentral:rRNA from 1 species
ACCGGGAUUGCCCUAGUAACGGCGAGUGAAGCGGCAACAGCUCAAAUUUGAAAUCUGGCUCUUUUAGAGUCCGAGUUGUAAUUUGCAGAGGGCGCUUUGGCUUUGGCAGCGGUCCAAGUUCCUUGGAACAGGACGUCACAGAGGGUGAGAAUCCCGUACGUGGUCGCUGGCUAUUGCCGUGUAAAGCCCCUUCGACGAGUCGAGUUGUUUGGGAAUGCAGCUCUAAAUGGGAGGUACAUUUCUUCUAAAGCUAAAUAUUGGCCAGAGACCGAUAGCGCACAAGUAGAGUGAUCGAAAGAUGAAAAGCACUUUGGAAAGAGAGUCAAACAGCACGUGAAAUUGUUGAAAGGGAAGCGCUUGCAGCCAGACUUGCUUGCAGUUGCUCAUCCGGGCUUUUGCCCGGUGCACUCUUCUGCAGGCAGGCCAGCAUCAGUUUGGGCGGUAGGAUAAAGGUCUCUGUCACGUACCUCUCUUCGGGGAGGCCUUAUAGGGGAGGCGACAUACUACCAGCCUGGACUGAGGUCCGCGCAUCUGCUAGGAUGCUGGCGUAAUGGCUGUAAGCGGCCCGUCUUGAAACACGGACCAAGGAGUCUAACAUCUAUGCGAGUGUUUGGGUGUCAAGCCCGAGCGCGUAAUGAAAGUGAACGGAGGUAGGAACCCGCAAGGGUGCACUAUCGACCGAUCCUGAUGUCUUCGGAAGGAUUUGAGUAAGAGCAUGGCUGUUGGGACCCGAAAGAUGGUGAACUAUGCUUGAAUAGGGUGAAGCCAGAGGAAACUCUGGUGGAGGCUCGCAGCGGUUCUGACGUGCAAAUCGAUCGUCAAAUUUGGGCAUAGGGGCGAAAGACUAAU